UACACACACUAAGGCCCCGUUUGUUUACCUCUUAAUUAAAAAAUUAAGAGGUAACCUCUUAAAAAUUCAGAUAUAGAUCGUUUGGUAGCCUCUUAUUUUUUGGCUCUUAAUUUUUUAAUAUUUCAGAUAUAGAAUGGAGUCUGAAAAAGAAAUAAAAGACACUUCUUCCUUUUUUGCCCACCGUUCUUCUAUUUACGUAUAAGCCUCCGCCUAGACCUUCUUCUCUCGAUCGUGCACACCUUCCGCCUCCACCAUCCGCGCUCCGAUCCUGUCACCGCCGCCAGCCUCUUUUGCUUCCAACUCCGUCAAAACUCGAAGACAACAUCAGGUUACUGGAACAUUGUGUUGAAAAGAAUGGUGAAGCAACAUUAGUGGCUGCAGAGAGGGAGAGGUUUCAAAAGACUGUCAUUUUGCUCAAGGAAUCAAAAGAAAUAAUCAAAAAAUGGAUGGAUGGUAUUUCAGCUAUAAAUGGAUUUUUCUAUAAUUUUCUGCAUUAAAAGUGUAAAAUUUAUAUGUUGAGUUUUUAACAGAUUAUUUGUUGUUUCAUUGUCCUAAUUUGGUUUUUUUGGUGAAUUUGUAUUUGAAAGCUGUGAACAUAUAUAGUGGAUUAAAAGUUGUAAUUUCCUUCAAA